rnacentral:rRNA from 1 species
UACGUAGGGUGCGAGCGUUAAUCGGAAUUACUGGGCGUAAAGCGUGCGCAGGCGGUUUUGUAAGCCAGAUGUGAAAGCCCCGGGCUUAACCUGGGAAUGGCAUUUGGGACUGCAAGGCUUGAGUGCGGCAGAGGAGACUGGAAUUCCUGGUGUAGCAGUGAAAUGCGCAGAUAUCAGGAAGAACACCCGUGGCGAAGGCGGCUUUCUGGGACGGUACUGACGCUGAGACGCGAAAGCGUGGGGAGCGAACAGG